AACCUUGUGUGGCCCCCAAGUGUGGUGACUGGCUGCUCCUGCUGGCAUGUGAGAGGCGGUUCCCUCAGACCUGGUCCUUCCAUCAGCAUGUUACCCAUCUGAUG